rnacentral:tRNA from 2 species
GCCGUCAUAGCUCAGUUGGUAGAGCGUCUGAUUUGUAAUCAGGGGGUCCGGGGUUCAAGUCCUCGUGGCGGCACCA